rnacentral:sRNA from 1 species
GUUGGGUGUGGUGGUGCACGCCUGUAAUCCCAACUGCUCGGGAGGCUGAGGCAGGAGGAUUUUGAGUUCAAAGCCAGCCUCAG